UGAGGAAUAUUGGUCAAUGGGCGCAAGCCUGAACCAGCCAUCCCGCGUGAAGGAUGAAGGCCCUAUGGGUCGUAAACUUCUUUUAUACACCAAGAAAAGUUCGGACGUGUCCGAAUCUGACGGUAGUGUGUGAAUAAGCAUCGGCUAACUCCGUGCCAGCAGCCGCGGUAAUACGGAGGAUGCAAGCGUUAUCCGGAUUCAUUGGGUUUAAAGGGUGCGUAGGCGGCUCUUUAAGUCAGAUGUGAAAGCCCUGGGCUCAACCUGGGAACUGCAUUUGAAACUGGCGAGCUAGAGUUUGAGAGAGGUAAGUGGAAUUUCAGGUGUAGCGGUGAAAUGCGUAGAGAUGUGGAGGAACACCGAUGGCGAAGGCAGCCCCCUGGGUCAACACUGACGCUCAUGCACGAAAGCGUGGGGAGCAAACAGG
rnacentral:rRNA from 1 species